AUUGAACGCUGGCGGUAUGCCUAACACAUGCAAGUCGAACGAGGUAGCAAUACCUAGUGGCGGACGGGUGAGGAAUACGUAGGGAUCUGCCCUUAAGUGGGGGAUAACCCGGGGAAACCCGGAUUAAUACCGCAUGAUCUCGCAAGAGCAAAGAGAGGGACCGCAAGGCCUCUCGCUUUUGGAGGAACCUACGUCGGAUUAGCUAGUUGGUGAGGUAAUGGCUCACCAAGGCGACGAUCCGUAACUGGUCUGAGAGGAUGAUCAGUCACACCGGAACUGAGACACGGUCCGGACUCCUACGGGAGGCAGCAGUGGGGAAUAUUGGACAAUGGGCGAAAGCCUGAUCCAGCAAUACCGCGUGUGUGAAGAAGGCC
rnacentral:rRNA from 1 species